rnacentral:rRNA from 1 species
UACGUAGGGAGCAAGCGUUGUCCGGAAUCAUUGGGCGUAAAGCGCGCGUAGGUGGCCUCGUAAGUCCGCUGUGAAAGUCAAAGGCUCAACCUUUGAAAGCCGGUGGAUACUGUGGGGCUAGAGUACGGAAGAGGCGAGUGGAAUUCCUGGUGUAGCGGUGGAAUGCGCAGAUAUCAGGAGGAACACCAAAGGCGAAGGCAGUGUCCUGGGGAGCACCUGACGCUCAGGUGCGAAAGCCAGGGGAGCGAACGGG